rnacentral:tRNA from 1 species
AUGCACGAUUGUGAAGUCAUGCUGAAGGAUAUGGGUGAUUCUAAACGCACCAACAGCAA